AACGAACGCUGGCGGCAGGCUUAACACAUGCAAGUCGAGCGGGCCCUUCGGGGUCAGCGGCAGACGGGUGAGUAACACGUGGGAACGUACCUUUUGGUUCGGAACAACUCCGGGAAACUGGAGCUAAUACCGGAUAAGCCCUUAGGGGGAAAGAUUUAUCGCCAAAAGAUCGGCCCGCGUCUGAUUAGCUAGUUGGUGGGGUAACGGCCCACCAAGGCGACGAUCAGUAGCUGGUCUGAGAGGAUGAUCAGCCACACUGGGGCUGAGACACGGCCCAGACUCCUACGGGAGGCAGCAGUGGGGAAUAUUGGACAAUGGGCGCAAGCCUGAUCCAGCCAUGCCGCGUGAGUGAUGAAGGCCUUAGGGUUGUAAAGCUCUUUUGUCCGGGAAGAUAAUGACUGUACCGGAAGAAUAAGCCCCGGCUAACUUCGUG
rnacentral:rRNA from 1 species